AACGGUCUAUACCUGCGGUACCUGCGGAAGGAUCAUUAUUGAGUGUUAACCUACACCCCGUAAAAAAGGGUGUGGUACCUCCUGUCCUUUGCAGGCCCCUUUUAUUGGGGGCUUUUUUAAGACUUUCUGCUUCGGCGGGGUAACUCCCGCCGGAACACCCUCAAAAAAAUCUUGAAUUUAAAAAACCGUUCAGUCCGAGAAAUUUUUUAAAAAUUAAAAAAAAACUUUUAACAACGGAUC
rnacentral:misc_RNA from 1 species